rnacentral:rRNA from 1 species
AUUGAACGCUGGCGGCAGGCUUAACACAUGCAAGUCGAGCGAGCGGCGGACGGGUGAGUAAUGUCUGGGAAACUGCCUGAUGGAGGGGGAUAACUACUGGAAACGGUAGCUAAUACCGCAUACCAUCAGAUGUGCCCAGAUGGGAUUAGCUAGUAGGUGGGGUAAUGGCUCACGUAGGCGACGAUCCCUAGCUGGUCUGAGAGGGUGACCGGCCACACUGGAAUUGGGACACGGUCCGGACGCCUACGGGAGGCAGCAGUGGGGAAUAUUGGCAAAGGGGCGCAAGCCUGAGGCAGCCAUGCCGCGUGUGUAAGGAAGGCCUUCGGGUUGUAAAGCACUUUCAGCGAGGAGACGGUACUCGCAGAAGAAGCACCGGCUAACUCCGUGCCAGCAGCCGCGGUAAUUC